GUGCUCAUUUUGGCAGCACAUGUACCACAGCUGGAAUGAUACAUAGAUUAGCAAAAUCCCUGUGCAAGGAUGACAUAUAAAUCUGUAAAGUGUUCCACAUUUUU
ensembl:snRNA U6 U6 spliceosomal RNA